UCAAAUUCUUAUCUAAUCUUCUAAUAUCUUAAUCAUGAUUAGAGAGAGAAAAAUUGCAAGCAGCUAAUGUCAUGGAGAAAGAUUUAAUUCGAUUCAAAAAUUUUCGUCUGUACAUGGUAUGAAGGUAAAAGCCCUUCGUUUAGAACCCUUCAAGGGGCAUUUGUUGGUAACAAUGGCUUUGGGGCAGGACAGAGGAUGAGGAGCAACUACUACUGCUUAGAGAUGUUAUCAGAGCGUCCUCCAUCUGAACGGACAUGUCUCUUUGCACAAGUGAGACGAUGUAGUCCAGCACCGUAGAAUCACAAGGAAAUGUAAUCGCACCAUCAAUGUUCAGUCCGAAUUCUUCUUCUGCCAUCUUCAACAGCUCCUGGAAGAUUGGCCGUUGGAGGCAGGCGAGGGGAACCAUGUAUCUUUUGCCAUCGGAUGCGAUUGCGAUGAAGGUGAUCGAGAUCGAAAACUAUCUCAGAAUUGUAGUCGUCUAUUGGAAGGGUAGUUGAUCUAUGGUAUUGAGUGCUUAGCUCCCUUGGUGUUGAUGAGAAACUCAAGCCUCUUGUGUAUGUAUAUAUAAGUACAAUGGCAAUGAAGUUGGUUUGGCCUUCAUUACAUGCAAAGCAAGUGGGAUUUGAGAGGCAUGUGAUCAGAGGCCCUACCAAGCAGACAUGGAAAUGGGUCUGUUGUUUCUCGUCAUAGCCGAAACACAUGCUAUAUGCGUAUUUCAUCCUACAACUGGUGGGCUCAUUAUACAAGCGAGUCCGGUCAUGUCUGCAGUCUUGUAUACGGUGGCUUCAUUGAUGUUCUGAAUGGUGGAAGUUCCUCAUUAAUCAGUUAUGGUACUCAACAUCUGGGCCGCCUUCUGUCUGAUAGUGUUUUGAACUUUGAAGUUAUAAAUGAUUGUUUUGUUGUUUAA